rnacentral:lncRNA from 10 species
UUCUUGAAGUCGGCCAGACCAAGAACCCACCAAUUCUGGACACAGUAGGAGAAAUGUCCAGGGAAAAGAACUGGAGAACAGUUUGUUGAUUGAGGAGCUGAAGUAUUAAGUACAGAGCCACAUACAUACUUAAAGACCCUGUGAAAAAAAUUAAUGAACAAAAAAUAAUUGGAAGAAGGUGUCCUGAGAGCACGUCUCUACAUCUAUACCUGCAUU